UUUUUUUUUUGGUACCAGAGGUUGAACUUGGGGGCACUCGACCACUGAACCACCUCCACAGCCCAGUUUUGUAUUUUAUUAGAGAAUUUAGAGACAGGGUCUCUCGGAAUUGCUUAGUGCCUUGCUGUUGCUGAGGCUCGCUUUGAACUCACAAUCCUCCUACUUCAGCCUCCCGAGCCGCUGGGAUUACAAGCAUGCAUCACUGCACCCAGCUAGAUUCUCAUAUUCUUUAGCUCUAAAUACUUGAGGGUUCCCAUCCUGAAUCCCUCUCUAAUGCACUUUCCUAACUCUACCCACUAGACUCCAUUACUCAUGAUACCAUCUAUUCCUCUCUAAAGUUCUAUUAUGUGACUUGCUUAUUAAUACCUUUUUGUGUCCCUGGCUCACCAGCUCCCCCUCUAGAAUGUCCACUCCCUGGCACCUGGACACUUCUUUUGUUCUCGGCCCCAUCCCCAUGCCUUGGCACAUACCUCCUGAAUGGCUACUGGAGAUUCCCAGGAUGAGCCCAUGGUGGGCUUCUUGGGAAGAGACCUGCAGAAGCCUCAGGCCCCAAGGAGAUACCCUUUUAGUCAUAGAGAUAGU
rnacentral:lncRNA from 1 species